CAAGGACAAUCAUCUGGUGCAAUAGAGGGAUAACUUCACCCAGUUGGAAGCAAUGAGGCAUUGUGUCACAGAGGAGCUGAGAUUUAAGGAUGGUCAAAAAUUAACUAGGUGAGCUAGUUUGAGAAAAAGAAUUCUGGCAAGUGGGAAGGGCAUGCAUGAGGUUAUGAAUACAGAAGACAACAAUGAACAUAAAGCCUUGGUAGAAAAAAGAAAAAACAAAAGUUGAACUCAGUGUGCAUCUGUGUUAUAAGCCAAAGAAGCAUGUAAACCAAGAACACCGAUGAAAUCAAUGUGAUUGGAAAUCUAAGAAGAUAAAAGGCCAGACUCAGUGCAAGCAGAAACAAGUGUAAAAACCAUCAUGUACAACUCAACAAUUUAUUGAAACAUAAACUCUGCCUGAAUAAAGAAAUAGGACAUCACCAGCACUCUCAAGACUAUCCUCUCCCUCACCUAAAGGCUGAGAACAUAGAGUCCCAAUACUGUGUACAAAUGUUACUUGGAUUAGUUGUUGCUAAUAAAGCAUGCACUGCUGCCCGUCCUUAUAUAGAAGGCUAUCAUCGCAGAUAAUGACUACCAAGGUAAUUUCUGUCAUCUGCUGGCUUCAAGGAAGCACCAUGCUCAGAGCCUUUCAGAUGUCUUUGAAAUCAAAGACCUCCGUGUGGAUGUUUGGUUUUACUGCACCAGGCGAGCAGACCCCAGUUUGCUUCGGUCCUCAUGGUGUGAUGAUCUGUGAACCAAUGUACACCAAAACAUUGGUGUAGCAGGGAGAGGAAUCCGAAUGAAGAUUCCAUUGUAAAAGGAAAAAAAUCAGAGACAGCAUUACGGCAUUUACAGUUGGCAUAAUUAUAAUUUCCUGCAGGGCAGUUAUGAGGAAGGCACUGUCCUGAGAAUGGGAAAAGUCCCUGACAAGACUCUGGUUCUGUCUUCUGAAGGAACCCUCGUGUCCACUGUCCUCUUGGCUCUCCUCCCUGGGAAGUUCUCCUUCAGCCAGUUAUCCUACAUGGGCUCAUCUGAAGGGGCAGCAAGGAGGGUGCCCUGACUUGGGGCUGCAAGGCUUUCACAACCCACUUCCUUGUGGUGGAGAGAGGAUGCGGUGUUGUUUUGAACCUCAAAUAAUAAAUUAUUUUGCU
rnacentral:lncRNA from 1 species